rnacentral:rRNA from 1 species
CUUGGUCAUUUAGAGGAAGUAAAAGUCGUAACAAGGUCUCCGUUGGUGAACCAGCGGAGGGAUCAUUACAAGAAGCCGAAAGGCUACUUAAAACCAUCGCGAACUCGUCCAAGUUGCUUCGGCGGCGCGGGGGCCCCUCGCCGGGCCGCCUGCCCGUUCCCCGCCCCGGGAGACCGGGGCGUGCUGGAGCAGCCGCCGGAGGUUCGAAACUCAUGUAUUACAGUGGAAUCUCUGAGUAACAAGCAAAUAAGUUAAAACUUUCAACAACGGAUCUCUUGGUUCUGGCAUCGAUGAAGAACGCAGCGAAAUGCGAUAAGUAAUGUGAAUUGCAGAAUUCAGUGAAUCAUCGAAUCUUUGAACGCACCUUGCGCCCCUUGGAAUUCCGAGGGGCACACCCGUUUGAGUGUCGUGAACAUCCUUCAACCUUUCUUGGUUUCUCGAUCAAGGAAGGCUUGGACUUUGGGGGUUUUUCAUUGCUGGCCUCCCUUGAAGCCAGCUCCUCCUAAAUGUAUUAGUGGGGUCUGCUUUGCCGAUCCUUGACGUGAUAAGAUGCUUCUACGUCUUGGGUUUCGCACUGUCGCUUUGGACCCUGCUUCUAACCGUCUUGCAUUCAGGACAGAGUCAUGAACCUUGACCUCAAAUCGGGUGAGACUACCCGCUGAACUUAAGCAUAUCAAUAAGCGGAGGA